CUUCAUGGCAACUGUGCGAGGGACACCUUCGGGUGUGCCGAGGUGCCUAUGACUCGGUCGGCCAACCCUUGUGCAGUUGCCACCAAU
rnacentral:antisense_RNA from 1 species